AUUCCAAUAGUUUUAAAAAGUUGGGCACAGUUUCAUGAGGGUUAAUUUAAAACUCCGCCCUUCUCUACCCAAAAGGUGUGAGUACUCUGGCCAGUUGCUUAGGACACUUUGAGAGGGUCUAUACUUUGUUGAAUUGUAAGCUCUAGUUAUGGCUGCAGCUCCUAAAAAGGCAAAA